UUGCACGCUGGCGGCAGGCCUCACGCCUGCAAGUCGAACGGUAACAGGAAGAAGCUUGCUUCUUUGCUGACGAGUGGCGGACGGGUGAGUAAUGUCUGGGAAACUGCCUGAUGGAGGGGGAUAACUACUGGAAACGGUAGCUAAUACCGCAUAACGUCGCAAGACCAAAGAGGGGGACCUUCGGGCCUCUUGCCAUCGGAUGUGCCCAGAUGGGAUUAGCUAGUAGGUGGGGUAACGGCUCACCUAGGCGACGAUCCCUAGCUGGUCUGAGAGGAUGACCAGCCACACUGGAACUGAGACACGGUCCAGACUCCUACGGGAGGCAGCAGUGGGGAAUAUUGCACAAUGGGCGCAAGCCUGAUGCAGCCAUGCCGCGUGUAUGAAGAAGGCCUUCGGGUUGUAAAGUACUUUCAGCGGGGAGGAAGGGAGUAAAGUUAAUACCUUUGCUCAUUGACGUUACCCGCAGAAGAAGCACCGGCUAACUCCGUG
rnacentral:rRNA from 1 species